AACUCUUUUACUCAACAGGGAACAAGGGGCCAGAUGGCAAGCAGACAUGUGCUUAAGGCUGGGUUGAGAACUGCUACUUAAAAGGAUGUUGAAAAUGAAACUGACUCUAAAACCUACUUGAAGCAAACUUCUGGAAGAGAGAGAUCAGAAGCAAGCACCAAAAGGAAGAGGAAUACCACUUAAGAAUGUGAUGCAAAGCAAGUGGGUCCUUCCAAAACUUUUAUCCUGAA
rnacentral:lncRNA from 1 species